rnacentral:lncRNA from 1 species
CUUGCAUUGUCACUUUCUCAUUGUAUUAAUUCUGCUGGAGAUCUGUUCCAAUCAAAGUUUCAAUGCAUUUUGAUUGUUCCGUUAUAAAGAACAAAUGCAAAAGUUGAAAUUCUUUAGUCCAAUAUUCUCGGAACUGUAUAAGUGGGAUGAUCAGAAUGAAUAUUGCUGUCGACAAGUGAUAUAUAGCACAACCAGAGAAAUGGGAGAACAGAUUCAGCUGCAAAUACAGGUAAGUGCAAAAAGCAGGAUAAUACAUCUCUAUUAUCCUACUCUUUGCACUUAUUUUCAAUGUUUUAUGUUUAGUGAUUAUUAUUGUAAAUGCAAAAUGACAACAGAAUAAUAAUUAAAAGUUCAAUCCAUUUGAUCUUUAGCAUUCUAAAGAUGAUCCUUGAAUGGAUCAGAAACAUUUCCAUUUAAUUCUUAUUUUUCUACUAAAAGUGCUUCAUUUUGGUUAUUGUUGUUAUAUUUUAGUACAGCAGAAGUUUUGAAUAUUUUUUGGAC